AUAUCACAUCAAAAACUUCUUACAUAACUAGGAAUCUACACGAGCACUUCUUUACAGCACUAGAGAAUUAAGCCACUGAUUAGUCGCGAAGAGUCUUUAUAUCAUCCACAAGUUCUUGAAGUUCCUCCAUUGUCACACUCAGGAGGCCUUUAUUGUUAUUCAUUCUAUACAAUUCACCAUUUGAAACACGACUUCUCUUUGCUCUUGGGUGCUCAGUAUCUUCCAUCAUUUUGGCUGUCAAUGUCUCUAAUUUGGUAUGAAAAUCUGAUGCAGUCCGUACUAAUUCUUCAAACUUCUCAUUCACUGACUGCUGCUGAUACAACUCUAAUGCUUCAGUAAGAGAGGCAGCAGAGCGACCACUUAACAUGGACUGGCUUUCCAGUGCUUGUAGUUCUCUUUUAAGCUCAGCA
rnacentral:misc_RNA from 1 species